rnacentral:rRNA from 1 species
CCGUAGCCAUGUGUCUGGGAUAACUGCUGGAAACGGUAGCUAAAACCGGAUAGGUAUACAGAGCGCAUGCUCAGUAUAUUAAAGGCGCCCAUCAAGGCGUGAACAUGGAUGGACCUGCGGCGCAUUAGCUAGUUGGUGAGGUAACGGCCCACCAAGGCGAUGAUGCGUAGCCGGCCUGAGAGGGUAAACGGCCACAUUGGGACUGAGACACGGCCCAG